AGCUCAAUGUUAAGAGUGCUUGCCUGGCAUGCAUGAAGCCCUGGGAUCAAUCCCCAG
rnacentral:tRNA from 1 species